GGGGUGGGAGAGAGAGGAGGAGGAGAAAGGGAGAGAAGGCGAUACUAUUUAACCUUGAGAACUGGUCAUUGGUUGUAGAGAAGCCAUCUAUACUUUCAGCCACUGUCACUAACCUAUCUACCUGUUUGGAUGAGACCUACUCAUUUUUUUUUCAGCAGUCAUAUUUAUUCAGGCUCAAUGACAUUUAAUCCAUGGAAUUUACACAGCAAUCUGGAGCUUGUGACUAGGAAUAUAAUAAAAUUGAAGAAGCAUGACCCAUAUUUCCACUUCAAUUAAUAGUCAAGCUGUGAAUUUGAAAGAUAUUUACGUAUGUAUAUACGUAUGUAUGUAUCUAUCAUCUAUCUAUCUAUCUAUCUAUUCAUUCAUGGAAUUGACCUCUGGGGUUGACAGUGUUUUCAGUGACCUUGAUGCCAGUGAUGAAUGAAUCAAUGUAGAAGGAAAUAUUUGUCCUAAAUGCCAUAAGCACAUCAAUAAAAUGUUGGUUGCCACAGGAAAUGCUGAUGUUUAUUUCUCAUCUUCCUUUCUAAUGUUCAGGUGGUGAAAUGGAGGAAGCUCUUAUUCUAAUCCAUGUCUUUUUGUGCUGAAAAUGUCACUCCUGGAACCAUUUUUUAUAGUGGCAGCUAUGAACGUGUCAUGGUAAAAUAAAUAUCACUGCCCCAUACCACACACACACGGGGUUAUAAGCUUGGAAACCACGUACACAAAACAGCCAAAAGGAUAGUGCUGCUCUGCUGAUAAAAGGAGAUUAACUUGGGGUGGGACUAAUUCUCCCCUGGUACCAUACAACUGAACAGAAUGGGAGGGAAGAAGGAGCAGUUGGGAAUAAUGGGAUGCUUCUGCUCCCUCGGUUUCCCAAAUCACCAUGCUCUAUAGUGCAAUGUUGAAGCCCCCUCUCCACCUCCAAAUUGACUUCGGAGAAGUCCUUCCUGGAAAAAUCUUCCUUCCCUGUGUAGAUCCACGCAGGGUAUCUUUCCCUGAAUCCAUGUGAAGGUUGAUCACUGACUCUCAACUAUGGGAUUUCCCACUCAAUUUACUCAACCUUUGCUCCCACUAAAUUAUUCUAGUCCAAUAACUAUUUUCUUCCCCCAAUAUUUUCCUCAACACAGAAAUGAUCAACACAGAAUAUGAUCCCAUAUCCUCGGGGGCUUUAAAUAUUUUGUCUGCUCACCUCCCAAAUGGUUGUUAUUUUCUACUCACCAUUGAUGCCUCCCCAGAAGAGGGGUACCAGACAAUGACACAGAUGGGUGCGUACAUCCCCAUGGGGACCAUCAGGAUUCCCCCCAGGGCAAUGUGGAAGAGCCCAUUCAUGAUCUGGACAGCCUGGAGGAGAGAACAGGGGCACUGAUGGAUGAACUGAAGUCGUCACCCAGUUAGAAGUAAAAGGAUAUUGCCAAAGAGCAGACAUGCUGGAGAUGCUGGCUACAAACUUGGAUGGGGGACCCCUAGAUACACAAGCCCCUACAUUGCAAGGGACCAAAAGAUUACCCUGAGCCCUAGAUUACCAGCUGUCACCGAGUACAGGAAUUUGCUUUGCCCCUAAACCACCCAAGACCACCAACCAAAAGGAAUCUAUUACUGUCAUCUAAAAUAGAGUUUAUAAACUGAUUCUGGUCACAGGACAGAAUUUUCAGAGCUGGUCAGAACCUCAGGCACCAUUCUGUACAGAUGACAAAUGAGGAACCUGUGGCCCAAGAAUGGGAAAGAACUUGUUAAAGAUCACACGUCUAGUGACAGAGCCAAGCCUGGAGACGGCCACAAUGGCUCUGAGGUUGAUGUUCUCUCUGCUGUAUCACAGUCUAGACCAGAUGAGGAAAUGGAGGUUCAGAGAGAUAAAUGAAUUUUCCCAAGCUCCCAUGUCCAAGUAGGGAAUGAGCUGAGAGUCGCCAUACACCUCUCCAGAGGGGCUACAGAACAUGUGACAUCACAGCAGAUACCUACAAAGCAGUUAAGAGGAUCCAGCUGUCUUCCAAUAGGAUAAAGCAGU